rnacentral:rRNA from 1 species
GACGAACGCUGGCGGCGUGCCUAAUACAUGCAAGUAGAACGCACAGUUUAUACCGUAGCUUGCUACACCAUAGACUGUGAGUUGCGAACGGGUGAGUAACGCGUAGGUAACCUGCCUGGUAGCGGGGGAUAACUAUUGGAAACGAUAGCUAAUACCGCAUAAUAUUGAUUAUUGCAUGAUAAUUGAUUGAAAGAUGCUAUUGCAUCACUACCAGAUGGACCUGCGUUGUAUUAGCUAGUAGGUGAGGUAACGGCUCACCUAGGCGACGAUACAUAGCCGACCUGAGAGGGUGAUCGGCCACACUGGGACUGAGACACGGCCCCGACUCCUACGGGAGGCAGCAGUAGGGAAUCUUCGGCAAUGGACGAAAGUCUGAACGAGCAACGCCGCGUGAGUGAAGAAGGUUUUCGGAUCGGAAAGCUCUGUUGUAAGAGAAGAACGGGUGUGAGAGUGGAAAGUUCACACUGUGACGGUAUCUUACCAGAAAGGGACGGCUAACUACGUG